rnacentral:snRNA from 1 species
AUCACUUCUAGGCCUUUUGGCUAAGUUCAUGUGUGGUAUCUGUUCUUACCAGUUUAAUAUCUGAUGUGUCCUCUAACCAAGAGCAAUAUAGUAAAUGAAUUUGGGGAGCAGGGAGAUGGAAUAGGAGUUUGCCCUGUCCACUCUAUGCAUCUACCUAGUAUUGCAGUACCUCUAGUGCUCUGCUCACCCC